CUAAAUGGCUUACAUCCCUACCCAGCUUUUUGUUAACAUGUCCAUGAGCAAGGAAGCUGCAUCUCAGAGACAGAUAUCAAUGCUGUAUAGAAAUCAAGGUCUCAUGAUAGGAAAUGAAAUACUCAACUAUCAGCUUCUGUUAGAAGGGACCGGAAGACCAUCUGUCGAGGAGGUUUCUGAAGGAAUCUGAUUCUGCAAUAGUCUUCCAUCGCAAGCCUCCAGAGAUCAAGUUCUUCCUUGGGAACAGAGAGUGUCUGUCCUCAGCAGAGGUUCCAACCUGUGCUCCUGCCCAGGUCAAUUGAGAAAGCUUCAGUACUGUCUCCACCAUACCGAAGAAGCAUCCCCAGUGGCUCAGUGUCACUCAGCAAACGAAGCUGUUGCAUACUUAGCCACGCUUUGCUGCUCCAGAGAGUUCUUCAUCCUUUGAUAUCCGCAGGGUGAGUGUAGCCAACUUAAAAUUCUACAGUGCUUUAUGCUCCAGAUGCCCUGCAAUCGGGAUCAGGCUGUGGAUGCAGAAAAGAGUGGGAUGUGGAAGAUGGGUCUUUAGAAAACGAAAGGAGCUGAUUUCUAAAGCUAGUUUAGUGUUCACUCAGAAAGGUCAAAGCUGUUUGGCUCUGCUUGUAUUUGUUCUCUCUCUUCACAUGUGUCCCUGUGUUUAGAUUCAUCAUUAUCACAAUGUGGAGUCGCAUACUAUGAAACUGAGUUCCACAUCUGUCUGCUGGGAAAUGUCACCUUGGCUUUACAGUUUGAGUCACAGGUUUCAAAUAACCGACUGACCCAACUGUCAGGGAAUGUCCCAGUUUGGGCCAGGUAGGUCCCACAUCGUAGGAGAUCCCAGAGCUGAGGCAAACUAGGACAGCCAGUGUUUGCAUUAAUCAUUGAGUUGCCUGCUGGUUGUUGUCAUUGACUGUGAACACCUUGAAGGUUGAAACUGUAUAAAAUCAAAACAAUGAGUUGUUGAAAGAAUGAGAGUUGAUUAAGUAGAUGAAUAAAUAGAAUUAAUUAGUUUUCUAACAUUAUAAUUUUGAGAGGUUAAUUCUUUAUCCUGAGAGGGAGAAGCAAGAGUCUUAUCCUUAAGUUUACUUAAGUUAAUUCCUCAGACCUAACACAAUGCCUGGAUUGAAUGCUUGAAAAUCAUAGCUAGGGCUGAGAUCAUGACUGAAAGGUCAGAAAAGUAAAAACUCUCACAGGAUGAAGAUGUUGGAAGGAUUUAUGUAACCAGAGAAGAAUAUAGGGCUUUUUCUCCCUAAGAAGGAAGGUUAAGUGUUAUGGUUUGAGUAUGUCAUCCCAACUUUGGGUCAUGGAGACAUUGCCCUCAUGAAUGGAUUAAUGCUACUGUAUCUUUCACCCUUUCCUUGUCUUUCCACCAUGAGAUGAUGUAAGAAGCCUCUUCAUUACAUUACAACUCCUGGAUCUUGGACUUUAAAGUCCCUGAACUGUGAGUCAAUAAAUUCCUAAUCAUUAUAAAUUACCCAGUCUGUAGUAAAUGUAUUAUUCUAAGAGAUUAGAAUUGUGUUCUUGCACAGCCCUCUCCCCUUUAUUACAAAUGAGUCUACUGUAUACCAACUUUGGUACACAAAACUCCACUGAGUCACUUAGAGUAUUCUGGUAGGUCCAGAGGUAAAGGCAUGGGGAAAAUAAAAACAGUCUGGCAUUGUGCAGGUGGUACAAAGUUAAGUAUAAGUGCCUUGAAGCCUAAUGGCCUGAGUUUGAAAUCCAUUUCUUCCUCUUUCUAACUCUGUAACUUUGGUCAGGGUACAUAGUAUCACUAGUCAUCCAUUAUCUCAACUGUGAAAUAACUGUCACAGCAUCUAUAUAAUGGUAUUAUUUCAAAAAUAAAAGAGAUGCAACAUUUGACGCAUGCAAAGCUCUUCAUAAAUGGUGGUGGCUGGCAAUGCUUUGCUUAUUGUCAAAAUACAGUCUUUGGCAUGUAGAAGCCAUGACUUACCUCUAACUGAAGAAUGUGAUGCAAACGUAAAUACUUAAACAUACAAACAAAAUGCUAUGGGCAAUUUAAAAGACAGAGAGAGGUUUUAUUCCCACUUCAUUCAGACAUUGGAACACUCAGAUAAAAAAAGGAAUAAACAUACAACUCUGAGUGUGGAGAUUAUGUCUCUGACUUCAUGAACCUGUGAUUUCUUUGGUGUUGGGACACUCUUAUGCCUUUUCAUACUCAACUCACAAUCAUGUGUGUGUUAAUCACUAAAUAGAGGCAAGAUAUAUCAGAUGAACUAUGGCCUUAAAAAUUCUUUAAUACUGGGUAAAGACCAAAUAGAGGUUUGUGUGUGUUAACCCAAGUUCAUGUGCUGAGAGCCAUGAUCUGAGGGAAGGUGUUUGAUCUCAACUAUCCAAGUUAUUUUAUUGUCAUCAUCUAGCACUAUACAAACAGAUAAAGGGAAUGUCUUUAAUUAUCCAUAUGUACAAUUAAUAGUAAAUAUAACAUGAGAAUCUGUGGUGGUAUUUUACUUGUACUGAAAUGUGAUUUUAAUUGUAUGUUAAUAAAUAAAGUUGUCUGGGGGUCAGAGCUAUUAGAGCCAUAGCAAGUGCGUGGCGGCGGUGGCGCACGCCUUUAAGGACCUGGAGGGCGGUACAUUCAGGCAGUGACGAGGCAGUCACAUGUUUGGGUUUACAACCAAUGAGAAGGCAGAACAGCUAGAGUAUAUAAAGACAUACACACAGGAAGUAGGUCUUUUUCGGAGAGCUCUCUUGGCUGAAAAGGAUCCCUGAAUCAGGAAGGGUGAGGCUCUUAGCUCUGACCUCUUGGCUUUCUUCUCUGAA